rnacentral:rRNA from 1 species
GAUGAACGCUGGCGGCGUGCCUAAUACAUGCAAGUCGAGCGAACAGACGAGGCGCUUGCUCCUCUGUCGUUAGCGGCGCACGGGUGAGUAACACGUGGAUACCCUACCUAUAAGACUGGGAUCACUUCGGGACACGGGAGCUAAUACCGGAUAAUAUACUGAACCGCAUGGGUCAAUAGUGAAAGACGGUUUUUCGGUCACUUCUAGAUGGAUCUCGGCCGCAUUAGCUAGUUGGGAAGGUCACGGCUUACCACGGCGACGCUGGGUAGCCGACCGCACAGGGUGGUCGGCCGCACGGGAGCGUGACCAGCCACCAUACGCCUACGAGAGGCAGCAGACUGGAAUCUGCCGCAAUAGGCGAAAACCUGACGGAACAACCCCACGUCAGUUAUAAAGGUCUUCCGUUCGUGAAGCUCUGUUAUGGGUGAAGAACAAAUUUGGAAGGAACUGAACACGUCUUGACGGUACCUAAUCAGAAAGCAACGGCUAACUACGUG